ACGCUCGACACCUACGGAGGCAGCAGUUGGGAAUAUUGGACAAUGGAGGAAACUCUGAUCCAGUGACGCCGCGUGAAGGAAGAAGGUCUUCGGAUUGUAAACUUAUUUUGUCAGGGAAGAAAAAAUGACUGUACCUGAAGAAAAAGCACCGGCUAACUACGUGUCAGCAGCCGCGGUAAUCUGAGCGGGCUGGCAAGGC
rnacentral:rRNA from 1 species